NNUCAAGCUGUGACAUUCCAGAGGGUUGCACUUUCUGCUGUCUAAAAUAAAAGAAAGUGCUUCCCUUUAGAGUGUUACGGUUUGAGG
rfam:Callithrix jacchus chromosome 22, whole genome shotgun sequence